GAUGAACGCUAGCGGCAGGCUUAAUACAUGCAAGUCGAGGGACAGCACAGGUAGCAAUACUGGGUGGUAACCGGCAAACGGGUGCGGAACACGUACACAACCUUCCUUUAAGUGGGGAUAGCCCAGAGAAAUUUGGAUUAAUACCCCGUAAUAUAGUUGAAUGGCAUCAUUUGAUUAUUAUAGCUACGGCGCUUAAUGAUGGGUGUGCGGCUGAUUAGAUAGUUGGCGGGGUAACGGCCCACCAAGUCUACGAUCAGUAGCUGAUGUGAGAGCAUGAUCAGCGACACGGGCACUGAGACACGGGCCCGACUCCCACGGGAGGCAGCAGUAAGGAAUAUUGGUCAAUGGACGCAAGUCUCAACCAGCCAUGCCGCGUGAAGGAUUAAGGUCCUCUGGAUUGUAAACUUCUUUUAUUUGGGACGAAAAAGGGCCUUUCUAGGUCAACUGACGGUACCAGAUGAAUAAGCACCGGCUAACUCCGUGCCAGCAGCCGCCGCCG
rnacentral:rRNA from 1 species